GUAGCUUUGUUGUAAAUCUUGAAGUUGGCUCGGACUUCUCAGAAGGAUGUUGAAAAGAAGUAAUGAGAGAUCACUUUCUUGCCUUAUAUUUUAUCUUAAUGGGAAAGCAUCCAGUUUCUAAUCAUCAAGGAUGAGCUGCCAUGUGAAGAUGGACAUAUUUGCUUCCCCUUCUGCCAUGGAUGUUAAGUUUCCUGAGGCCUCUCCAGCCAUGCAAAACUAAAUCUACAUCAAUCUUUCUAAAUGAAUACACAGAGAGUUGAAUCUGUCUGAAGUAUUGUCCGUGGCUGAUUAACAACCUGUACUAUGGGCAUAUUGAAUCACUUAAAUUUACCCUAGAGAUUCCCUUAACUUCGAACACUGAUUUGCUUGCUAUGUUUGUGUACAUCUAUGUUUUAUCAUUUGCGCAUCUGAUGUUCACUCCUUGAAAAAUGGCUAUUUUAAGGGAAUAUUAAAUUGUAAAGUAGUACUGGAUUCAUGACAAACUGUACCAUAGAGGAGGCAAUAAUCACAACUAAUUGUUAAUGUGAUAUUAUAAUGAAAGCAGCUAGCUAAUACUUUAGACAUUUUUAUUUUUAUACAUUUAUAAUGUAGUUGCUUUAUACAUUACUUCCUGGAAUAACCUUAUGUUUUUUUCACUUGCGAGUCCACAAUAAAAUCGUAGAAUACAUGUCUCUUACAGCUUCUCUUAGUCUUAAUUCUUGAGAGAAAAAGAAGUGAUAAGAUAUAUAUGUGUUAAGAUUAGUGUAAGGUAUUGGCUCACACAAUUAUACAGGCUAAGGGUCCCAAGAAUCACAUUUAGCAAGUUGGAGACCUGUUGGAGCUGAUGGUAUAAUUCCAGUUUUAGUCCAAAGGCCUGAGAACCAAAGAGCCAAUGAUAUAAGUUCUGAACCCUGAAGGCAACCCAACUCAAGGAUUGUCAGGCAGGGGAAGAGAAUUUUUUUUCUUAACCCAGGCUUUCAUUUUAUUCAGGCCUUCAAUGUACUGGAUGAGGCUCACUCACACUGGGAGUACUAUCUGCCUUAUUCAAUCCAUGAUUCAAAUGUUAUCUCAUCUAGGAACACCCUCAUAGACACACGAAAAAUAAUAUUUAACCAAAUAUCUAGGCUGCUGGUGGCCAAAUGAACACAUAAAACCAACCUCUCACACAGCUUCACAUCUAACUUGCAAACUAAGAAGUUAACAUACUUAUAGAAUUCCAAAGGCCAAUUGUUUUUUAGUAUGGAAGGAGAAGUUAUGCUUUUUCUAUGGAAAAUUAAGCAUCACAUUUUUUUCUAGUGAUUCCCCUUAUAAUUAAAUCUGGAUAUUUUGUAAGGAUAAAACAAAUAAAUUGAAAGCUACUUUGCUUAACAGGUGUGUUAUUUUAGACAAAAAUUGUAUAUUAUUUUUUAUUUGAAUAAUAAAAAUGUUUUCCA
rnacentral:lncRNA from 1 species